GAUGAAGAACGCAGCGAAAUGCGAUAAGUAGUGUGAAUUGCAGAAUUCAGUGAAUCACCGAAUCUUUGAACGCACAUUGCGCCCCUUGGUAUCCCGAGGGGCAUGCCUUUUCGAGCGUCAUUUCACCACUCAAGCCUGGCUUGGUGUUGGGCGACGUCCUCUUUGGGGACGCGCCUCGAAACGCUCGGCGGCGUGGCACCGGCUUUAAGCGUAGCAGAAUCUUUCGCUUUGGAAGUCGGGGCCCCGUCUGCCGGAAGACCUGCUCGCAAGGUUGACCUCGGAUCAGGCAGGGAUACCCGCUGAACUUAAGCAUAUCAAUAAGCGGAGGA
rnacentral:misc_RNA from 1 species